UUCACGAUGUUGACGAGGGAUAUUCUUGAUAUCUCCAUUUUAUAUAAUUUCCUUCUAAGAAGCAAAUACCUCGAUAAGACAUGAGCUGACCAAGAAGAGAAGUCAGCGGCAAGUGGAAUCAGGGUUGACAAUAAAGAAGCACAACAGUGAGGAGAAACUCUUCAUUCUUUAGUCAAAACUUGAAAGCGGGCCAUCUCCACAGUGAAUAACACCACCGAGCCACCUCGAAGGGACCAUUCCAAGCUAGAGAGAGAGAGAGAGAGAGAGAGAGAGAGAGAGAGAGAGAGAGAGAGAGAAGAGAGAGAGAGAGAGAGAGAGAGAGAGAAAGAGAGAGAGAUUAAUGCUACAUACAGGAGCAUAACAAUAGCCGGUACUGGACAGGGGGAGAGCCUCCACAGGAUCAAAGUCAACGCCUGGAUGUUCGAGACUUGGGCUUGGAGGUCUUCUGCAUUUUUGUAAAAAUUUUUCAAUAAAGAGAGCCACCGGGCGAGUAAAUUCACUCAGAAAGAGACGAUGAAUGGCAUCGCGAGACGGAAAUUCAACUCACCGAUGUGCCGCUGAAGCUGGCCCCCGAUCCCACGGCAGCACCUGCCAACGGGCAACAGCUAGACAGAUUACAACACAUGCAUGAAUGCAAAUGCACUACAGCUCAUUCUAAUGGCGCAAUCUCAAAACUAGCAGAAUGGAGGCACCUAG
rnacentral:lncRNA from 1 species